GGGUCUAACUGUCAACCCUGAUAUGGUCAUCCACAUUGUAUUUCAAUUUUCACAAUCUAUCAUAUGGAUUAUCCUGAUUGAGAUUUUACUAAAUUGAAAUACACUGAUGCAUUAACUCCUACUUAUUCAGAGGGAUCAAUUCUAUCUUAACUCACAUAUCGAUUUUGUAAGUACUUGACUGUAUCCAGAAAUCUUUCAUUACUGAAUUAGAAAUUCAAGUAGUCCAACAUCAAAGUAUAGUGAGUUGCUUGCAAGUCAUCAUGGUGAUCUU
rnacentral:lncRNA from 1 species